GGCAGCCGGAGAAGGAGCCAGGAGAAGGAAGCUUAAGAAGGAGAGAGCGAGGUAGAGUGAAGGGAAGACACAGACCGUUCAGUAAGCGCUGCCUCCCUUCCGAUGUCCCCUCUUUCACUGGCAGUCAGCAGUUGGGCCUGUUUGUGUACUUGUCUAGAACUGGAGCUGCAAGUGGCCGCCUGCUUCAUCUUCCACUGAAACAGUAGAGGAACGUGGCAUUAUGGAAGCUGAAGGCAUCAAGGAGCAGGAGGAAGUCCACGGCAGCCAUGGCGCAGGGCAGCCGGAUGACUUAGAGUUUGGGGGAGAGAGUGAGGCAGGGAAAGCAGAGGCUGCUGCUGGGAGUGAGGCUGCAGGAGGGGCAAGGGAGGCAGAGCCUGCAGGAAACGUAGCUCAGGGAGAGGGUGAGGCUGGGAAAGCUGAGGCUGCUGCUGGGAGUGAUGCCAAGAGAGAAAAUCAGCCAGCAGAAAAAGCUUUGGGUGAUGAGGAGGUACAGGAACCUGGAAUUACAGAGAAAGUGAAGGGAGAAGGAGAAACAACGAGCCAAGGCCAGGCAGAGAUGGAAGAUAAGGUGGCCGUAUCUGGAACAGAGCCCGAGGAAGAAGCUUAUGGAAACCAAGAAGAAGUUCAGGAGAAAGAAGAAAAAUCUGGUGACUUGGAAAAUAAUUCCAGCAUGCCUCGCAUUGAGGGCCGAACAGGCAGCACUUCAGAUGAACCUCUUUCACCGGAGCCAGGUGAGGAAGAAGAGCACUGGCCAGAAGUCUCUGCAAGCUCUCCUGAUGAGGGCCCAGAAAGCCCCACGGGAUUCAAAAGCUUGGAGGAAGAUGGCACCAUUUCAAACACAACAGCUGCAGAAACUGCUACGGGGCAAACUACCAGCACUGAAGCGGCCUCUGUGGGGGUUCAAGAGCAGCACCCUGCAGCCGAGGGGGCAGCCACUGCCAAGGAGAAAAAGAUGAGGCCUGCAUUCGACCAACGGGCACUAACCCGGCCACGUAUGCCGCCCAGAGCUCAGUCCCGCAAAGCCAUCGUGGAGAAGUUUGGAGGGGCUGCAAGUGGUCCUGCUCCCAAUGUCAGGAGGAUGGGAGGUGCAAACAGUGUGAAGAGCAUGUUGCUGGAGUGGUGCAGGGCCAAGACCCGUGGCUAUGAGCAUGUAGAUGUCCAAAACUUUUCCUCCAGCUGGAGCAGCGGCAUGGCCUUUUGCGCCCUCAUCCACAAAUUCUUCCCGGACACUUUUGACUACUCCACUCUUGACCCAACAAAGCGCAGAGAAAACUUUGCCCUGGCCUUCUCUACUGCCGAGAAGCUUGCAGACUGUGCCCAGCUUUUGGAUGUGGAGGAUAUGGUGCGCCUGAGCGUCCCUGAUGCAAAAUGCAUCUACACCUAUAUCCAGGAGCUGUAUCGCAGCCUAGUACAGAAAGGCUUGGUGAAGACGAAGAAGCAGUGAAACGAGGUGGCCAGCCUGUAUCUGAGGCCAGUUGGUAACUACAGAGGAAAGUUUGGGGCGGGGAGAAGACAGCAUACGGGAUAUGUCCUGGCCACAGCGCUCUCUCCAUUCUGUGACUUCCUCUGCACACAGCAUUGGAUUGAACAGUAGUAGCUGCCCCCCGCUAAUGCUAAGGGCUACAACACACACAUUUUACCAAUACGCCUGUGAGAUAUUUAGGGAAGAGAUUACUGAUAUCACCUUUGGGCGGGGCGGAAGCAAUCAUCUUCAGCAAUCUGACCUCCAUGAAACCAAAACUGACGGCAUCUGUUCCCAGCAGAUACAGCUUAGAAGGAGCAGAUUCUCUUCUUCUCCAGCAGCCCCACCCCCCUCCAAGCAGGGAUGCUGCUUCUGACUGAGUACUUGUCUCUAUUAAAGCUUCUGCUUUCCUUGUUGUGAACCAAA